AUGCUUGUAUUUGAUGUGUGUGUGUGUGUGUGUGUGUCAUAGGACUUGCUGACGCGACACAAGCUACUGAGUGCUGAAUUUCUGGAGCAGAACUACGAUAGGUUCUUCAGUGAAUAUGAGAAACUUCUUCAUUCUGAAAACUAUGUGACAAAAAGACAAUCUCUGAAGCUGUUAGGUGAGCUGUUAUUGGAUAGGCAUAACUUCACAGUGAUGACGCGUUACAUCAGUAAAGCUGAAAACCUCAAACUGAUGAUGAAUCUUCUACGAGACAAGAGCCGCAACAUCCAGUUUGAAGCCUUCCACGUCUUUAAGGUACCCUCACACACACACAC